UACGUAGGGUGCGAGCGUUGUCCGGAAUUAUUGGGCGUAAAGAGCUCGUAGGCGGUGUGUCACGUCGGCCGUGAAAACCUGCAGCUUAACUGUGGGCGUGCGGUCGAUACGGGCAUCACUGGAGUUCGGCAGGGGAGACUGGAAUUCCUGGUGUAGCGGUGAAAUGCGCAGAUAUCAGGAGGAACACCGGUGGCGAAGGCGGGUCUCUGGGCCGAUACUGACGCUGGAGGAGCGAAA
rnacentral:rRNA from 1 species